rnacentral:rRNA from 1 species
CACGUAGGGCGCAAGCGUUGUCCGGAAUUAUUGGGCGUAAAGAGCUCGUAGGCGGUCUGUUGCGUCCGCUGUGAAAACCCGGGGCUUAACCCUGGGCUGGCAGUGGAUACGGACAGACUAGAGGUAGGUAGGGGAGGAUGGAAUUCCGCGUGUAGCAGUGAAAUGCGUAGAUAUGCGGAGGAACACCGAUGGCGAAGGCAAUCCCCUGGGCCUGUACUGACGCUCAUGCACGAAAGCGUGGGGAGCAAACAGG